UACGUAGGGUGCAAGCGUUGUCCGGAAUUAUUGGGCGUAAAGAGCUCGUAGGCGGUUUGUUGCGUCGGCUGUGAAAUCCCGAGGCUCAACCUCGGGUCUGCAGUCGAUACGAGCAAACUAGAGUGUUGCAGGGGAGACUGGAAUUCCUGGUGUAGCGGUGAAAUGCGCAGAUAUCAGGAGGAACACCGGUGGCGAAGGCGGGUCUCUGGACAGUUCCUGACCGGCUGGAGGCACGGAAGGCCAGGGGAGCAAACGGG
rnacentral:rRNA from 1 species